rnacentral:rRNA from 1 species
GACGAGGGGUCCAAGCGUUCUCCGGACUUAUUGGGCGUAAAGCGGGUGUAGGUGGCUCUAUAAGUCAGAAGUGAAAGCCCCGAGCUUAACUUGGGAAGUGCUUUUGAUACUGCAGAGCUUGAAUGUGGGAGAGGAUCGUGGAAUUCCAGGUGUAGUGGUGAAAUACGUAGAUAUCUGGAGGAACACCGGUGGCGAAGGCGGCGAUCUGGCCCAACAUUGACACUGAGACCCGAAAGCGUGGGGAUCAAACAGG